GCCUCGGAAGAGGCGCGGCCUCCGGAGCCGAAGGUCAGUGGUUCGAAUCCACUAGGGUCCGCCA
rnacentral:tRNA from 2 species